CAAGUGUUGUAGAAUUUUUAUUUGUAAUAAUAAUCUUAAUCUAAUAAUUAUCUGCGUUUAAUUUUUUUUCACUUAAAAUAAUAUGUAUAGGUAAAAUAUGUAUAUACAUAUAUAUAUAUAUAUAUUUUGAGGUUUCUUUAUUAUUAUUUUUUUACAUCAAUGUAAUAUAUAUUAAUCUGCUUAUUUAGCUAGUUUAUUUUUUCCUGCUAACCAUAAUAAUUUUAAAUAGGUCCAUGUCACGAAUAAAAGAUCAGGGCUGGCCAUGUGGCGCUUUAAUGAUAUAAUGGUUAGAUCGGACUACUUUUUAAAAUCAACGAAUAGUCUACAAUUCCAUGAGAUUAGAUUAAAUAAUAAUUUUGUGUUAAAGAAUAUUUAUUUAAAAUUUGAAAUUUAAUCUUUUGUUUUCUGAGGGUAACAAUCUUCAAUCUUAGACACAUAGAAAGAAAGCAAACUUUAGUGGUUAGAAACAAUUUCUAUUUGUAGUUGUACUCAAACUCUCAAACCCAAUGAAUGGUUUAAAAAAUUCACAUGCGAUAUCAAUAUUUUCAAGUUCAAAUCUAUGAAGAUUUAAUCAGUUGUGGUUGUAGAAUUUCAGGGUUGCGAAAAUACACGAGCAGUGAAUCCAUUUAAAAAUAGUAACAAGGAUAUGCUUUAAAAUGUCU